UCCCGGACUGGUGUCUUCUCAUCCUUUGCAAGAGGUACACAUACCGGGACAAGUAUCCCCUCAAUCUACCCAGCAUGGAGUGAACUGAAUGCCUCUCUCAGAAGGAGGGGGAAAAAGAGAGAGUUACUGAAAUAAUUUCUGCCAAGGGAAACGGACCCGCAAUGGAGGCGCACUCAAAGCCGGGGAGGAGCGCGCCUGGACCUGGCGAGCUAGCACACCAAGGCCCCAACCUGGAGUGGAAGGGGACAGGCUACGAGCAGCCCUGGUCUGUGGGAAACGACAGAAGACAAUUGGGCAUCAAGAAGAAUUCUAACAAAAGGCUUUGCUAAGUUUCCACCAAUUUAUAACAAUUAUCUCAUACUCUUAAACUUAUCAUAUUCCUCCACAACUGUUCACUCUUCAUCAAGCCUAAUGAAGAAUUAUGCAUGUCUAUCUAUAUAUUUUGAGCCUUCAUUUACUUGUUAAAGCAUCCAUGUGAUAUGGAAUGUAUAUUAAAUAAAUGUGAUUUGCU